UACGUAGGGCGCAAGCGUUGUCCGGAAUUAUUGGGCGUAAAGAGCUCGUAGGCGGUCUGUCGCGUCCGUUGUGAAAACUCGAGGCUCAACCUCGGGCUUGCAGUGGAUACGGGCAGACUAGAGUGCGGUAGGGGAGACUGGAAUUCCUGGUGUAGCGGUGGAAUGCGCAGAUAUCAGGAGGAACACCGAUGGCGAAGGCAGAUCUCUGGGCCGUAACUGACGCUGAGGACGAAGCGUGGGGAGCGAACAGG
rnacentral:rRNA from 1 species